rnacentral:lncRNA from 1 species
UUUUAAGAGCUUCGAUUGACCUUUUUAAAAUUUAUCACACUGUAGAUAUAUGCAGGAAAAUUAUUCAGCUGACAAUGUAUGAAAGUGAAGUUUUAAGUAAAAAGUUUCAUUGAUGCCACGAGAAAUGGGAACAAAAGGAACUCUCAUAAGACUUAUGGAAGCUAUUGAACAGCUUAUCCUCACUAGAACAAAAGUUUUUCUAUUUUUAUUUCAAAACCAUUAUCACAAACCUUUUAUUGUCAGGUACUAUUUCUUACCUAUUUUAAAACGAAGAGAUGCAUACAAAAUAUACAAAUAGGUAUUUAUAAAGGUGAUGUUAGGAUUUGUUAGGAGACUGUAUCUGAAAGUAUGAAUUAUUCUUUAUAUAUUUGUAAUAAUAACAAUGCCUUGUACUCUUGCAAGUUUUUAUAAAUUUAUCUAGGGAAUUUAUUUUAUGGAAUGUUGUCAUAUGAUAUAUUUUCCUUUCCCAACAUUCCCAGGAACUCUUAACAUAAUUUUAACAAAAAGUUAAGUCUUCUUAAUUAAAGGCUAUGUAAUACACAGAAUUUAGAAUCUAAUACAAUAAUUGAAGAUAUAGAUGACAUGUAAUCAAACCUUAGUCUUCAAAACACAUCCUCUGCCUUCCCAGAGCGAUCAUUGUCCUGAGAGGAAUCCUAAGGUGACACUGGUAAUGGGAUUGCCUCUGAGAGCAGCCUUUCUUUCCUCUAGGACAUGAAAAAUUACUGGAACAUGAGAAAUUGCUAGGAAUUUCUUCUUAGCUUCCACACUCUCAUUUGAACCUCAUCUCUUCUUUGGGGACUCUGGUUCUUUCCUCAGUUACAAAACAACUUUGAGACAGCUUUAUUUCCAAGGUUUUGAGAAAGCACAGGUUAGACAAUUCUAGCUGCCUAGAAAUCUAACCAACCUCUUUCACACAUUGCUGACGCCACUCAAAGAAAAAGAAAUCACAAACUCCUUUUCUUCUAAAUUUUUCUGCUUCAGCUAGAAUCAUCACUCUUAAAAACCAGGCCCUCUAUCCUUGUCUAUAACCUUAUUAAAUAUUAUGUCAAAUCACUUUAUUUAAGACAUUAUGUAUAAACCUAUUUCUUGAAAAAUUAUGGCCAGAACUAAAAACAAAAUUAAGCUGAUAGCCAUUUUAAUUCAUUGUUCCAGGAGAGCAACAAAAUUCCUCUUGAAGAGAAAAAUCACUUUUGUUUGGGAAAGAAGCCAAUGAGUUUUGUUUUUUUUUUUUUUUUUUGAGCAAGGUUAGACCCCAGGAGAGUCUGGAUGGGAGAGGGCAAGCUUAAGAGAGAGCCAAAUUUCUCUGCAUCAGAAAGUUACAGGAAUUUUGGAGUGGGUCCCCUCACCACUGCAGGGCUGAGGAGGGUCAGAUCAUGAAAGAGAGGAAUUGAAAACAAAAAGCUUUCUUAGAAUCUAGAGGGCAGAGAUCAGGCCCAAGAAAUACAUUGUGAGUGCUGCCAAUAAGGACUCCUUGAGGUAGAGAUUUCAGAUAACUUAGCAAUAGUGUGGCUAGUGGUACUGCUAAUUAUAAGAGCAACUGUCCUGAAGAAGAUGGUGAGUUCAUUUUUUGAAGCAAAGCAGGUUAUAUAACAGGCUGAGGCAGCCUAUAGAAGUAGUGGGCAGAGGGAAGAAGAAACUAAGUCAGAAAACAAGAGUUUGGAGUAGGAAAAAAUAGAAAGAAUCAAGUUGCAUCUUCAGAAUCUGCUGAUAAAUUGCAGAACAUGUUGGACUUCCCACACAUAUGGGAUGGCUAUUUUAAAAAAAUGAUUUCAGAAGGAUAGAAGAGUUAAACUUUGGGAUUGUGUGCAUUAUCCUCUUAUGGAACAUUAUAUUUUUUUCACUUCUUAAAAAACAGUUGGCUUGGGCUGGGGUUGUGGCUCAGCGGUAGAGUGCUCACCUAGCACGUGCGAGGAGCUAGGUUGGAUCCUCAUCAUCACAUAAAAAUAAACAAAUAAAAUAAAGGUAUUGUGCCCACUAUAACUAAAAAAAAUAUUUUAAAAAAGUAGUAGGCUUCAGCAUCUACUGGCUCUGGCCAAUGCCAGAGAAACAGGCACCAAAAGCAUGGAAGGUCUGUGUGCCUUCCAUUUGUCCCAUUAAAUUGUGGCAAUGAAGACAGGAAGCAUAUACAAUCACAUAACAUCAUUAUGAGGAAAAGCUCAACAGGAAGUGAUUACGCAACAUUCAAAAUUUAUGUAGUAGGAACUUUGGAUUGGACAAAGGGGAGGGUGGGGAGGAAUCAUGGGAAUAGGAAAGAUGGAGGAAUGAGAUGGUCAUCAUUAUCCUUGGUACAUGUAUGAUUGCAUGAAUGGUGCAUUUCUACAUCAUGUACAACAAGAGCAUUGAAAUGUGUUCCAUUUGUGUAUGAUGAAUUGAAAUGCAUUUUGCUGUCAUGUACAACUAAGUAGAACAAAUAAAAAAAUUAUGUAGUACUCAAAGACAUCACUCAGUUUGUUCACUACUGUCAUUUGUACCUUUAUUUCUUUGCAGGAGAUUUUUAGACAUCACCACUGCUACCCUACAUCCACUUCUGCAUUAGUUGAGAACAGCCUUGAUGACCCAGUUCCAGAAAUUCCUCAGGCAAAUCUAUAAUAUGCAUUCACCUACAAGUAUGGAAAAAAAAAACUUACCUAGCAGAAAUAAUAGAGGUUGGGGGUUCAAUAUAAACUUCCUCUUCAUUGAACAGUACCCAAGAUAUCAUAAAUUUUUGAACAUCAACAUAUAAAUUACUGAGAAAUUAGAUGAAUUGGUGCUGGCCCCAAAGAGAUUAUUCUUUUUUUUUCUCUAGAGCAAAACAGGAUUCAUAACUGAAAGAAGAAUGAUAAAAAAGAAGAAUCUGAGAUCUGAUAUAUUUCAUUCAUUUCAUUCCACUUCUACUCUGUCUGUGAGAGAAGAUUGUUCUGGAAAAGUCAACUGGAGGCACCAGGUCAAAGGUCAAGCAGAACAGUAUCAGACAUAGACUUUGUACUGAAAGGUAAUACUGGACCACAUUUGUUAAGUGCUCUUCUUGCACCUUUCCUCAAAUAGUAGCUUUUUAUUGUUACCUCCUUAGCUCACACUCAUUGCAUCCUUGAUGUUUCACCCAAAGGUAUAAUUAUAUUGCAUCAGUAUACCAUUUUUUCCUCACUGAGAUCUUGCUAUAUAGAGGAAAAAAACUAAUCACUCACAUGACUAUAUAUAAAUAUAUAUAUGAAAUUUUUUUAUUGAAGGCCUCCUCUCACUUAAUACUAUAAAAUAUUAUAAAAUAC